GCCAUUUUGAAACGUACAGGUGUAUAACGAAAGUAUGAAGAGUGUUCACAUGAUUUAAGAUAAACUAUGAUAAUUAUAUAAACGCCAAGCUCUGAAGUCCUCAAACAUGAUUCUCCUGGCAAUAUUCAUCACCUUAUGUUUCAUAAAAGAGAGUACAAAUACUGGAGGAAACUGUACAUGGUCACGUAGAACAGUCCAAGAAGUCAGCACUUGCCCUGUAACGACAGCUGAUAAAGAAAAGGCAGAAAAAAUUAAAAAAUGUCACGAACUGGCUGAAAAACAAAACUGCACAGAGGCUUCAAUGUUCAAAUAUCACUGUGUAAUAAAUGAAAAUAACGACAAAUUCCUGGAAGUAUGUGCCCCUGCUAUUGAAAUUAUU